rnacentral:tRNA from 1 species
GCCUUCGUAGUGUAAUGGUUAGCACACUUGAGGCGUAUUCGAGAGGUCCAGGUUCGAGUCCCGGUGAGGGCA